AGUGGGAUAGCUGGAUCAAAUGGUGGGCCAUUCCAAGUUUUCUAAGGAAUCUCCAUACUGCUUUCCAUACUGGUUGUAACAAUUUGCAGUGCUACCAGCAAU
rnacentral:pre_miRNA from 1 species